GAUCCUAGCUCAGGAUGAACGCUAGCUACAGGCCUAACACAUGCAAGUCGAGGGGCAGCGGGAAGGAAGCUUGCUUUCUUCGCCGGCGACCGGCGCACGGGUGCGUAACGCGUAUCGAACCUACCCUUUACUCGGGAACAGCCUUGCGAAAGCAAGAUUAAUGCCCGAUGUUCCGCGUUUGCUGCAUGGCAAAUUCGGCAAAGAUUUAUCGGUGAUGGAUGGGGAUGCGUCUGAUUAGCUUGUUGGCAGGGUAACGGCCCACCAAGGCAACGAUCAGUAGGGGUUCUGAGAGGAAGGUCCCCCACAUUGGAACUGAGACACGGUCCAAACUCCUACGGGAGGCAGCAGUGAGGAAUAUUGGUCAAUGGGCGAGAGCCUGAACCAGCCAAGUAGCGUGCAGGAUGACGGCCCUAUGGGUUGUAAACUGCUUUUAUAAGGGAAUAAAGUGGGUCACGUGUGACUUUUUGCAUGUACCUUAUGAAUAAGGACCGGCUAAUUCCGUG
rnacentral:rRNA from 1 species